AUACGGAGGAUCCGAGCGUUAUCCGGAUUUAUUAGGUUUAAAGGGUGCGCAGGCGGGAGAUUAAGUCGGCGGUGAAAUUUUUCAGCUCAACUGUAAAAGUGCCUUCGAAACUGGUUUCCUUGAGGGUAGAUGAAGCAGGCGGAAUUUGUGGUGUAGGGGUGAAAUGCAUAGAUAUCACGAGGAACUCCGAUUGCGCAGGCAGCUUACUAAACUACUACUGACGCUCAGGCACGAAGGCGUGGGGAUCAAACAGGAUUAGAUACCCUGGUAGUCCACGCAGUAAACGAUGAUUACUAGCUGUUUGCGAUACAAUGUAAGCGGCUGAGCGAAAGCGUUAAGUAAUCCACCUGGGGAGUACGUUCGCAAGAAUGAAACUCAAAUGAAUUGACGGGG
rnacentral:rRNA from 1 species